CGCCCGCUCAGAAACUUAAAGGAAUUGACGGGGGCCCGCACAAGCGGAGGAGCAUGUGGUUUAAUUCGAUGAUACGCGAGGAACCUUACCUGGGCUUGAAAGUUAGUGACAUUCUGUGAAAGCAGAACUUCCGCAAGGACACGAAACUAGGUGCUGCAUGGCUGUCGUCAGCUCGUGCCGUGAGGUGUUGGGUUAAGUCCCGUAACGAGCGCAACCCCUAUCAUUAGUUGCCAUCAGGUCAUGCUGGGGACUCUAAUGAGACUGCCCGCGCAAGCGGUGAGGAAGGUGGGGACGACGUCAAGUCAUCACGGCCCUUACGUCCAGGGCUACACACGUGCUACAAUGGUAGAUACAGCAGGUUGCCACAUGGUAACAUGGAGCUAAUCCCAAAAGUCUAUCUCAGUUCGGAUUGAGGUCUGCAACUCGACCUCAUGAAGCUGGAUUCGCUAGUAAUCGAAAAAUCAGCAAUGUUUCGGUGAAUACGUUCCCGGGCCUU
rnacentral:rRNA from 1 species